GCAGCCGAGCGGUAGAGAUUCUUCGGAAUCUUGAGAGCGGCGUACGGGUGCGGAACACGUGUGCAACCUACCUUUAUCAGGGGGAUAGCCUUUCGAAAGGAAGAUUAAUACCCCAUAAUAUAUUGAAUGGCAUCAUUUAAUAUUGAAAACUCCGGUGGAUAGAGAUGGGCACGCGCAAGAUUAGAUAGUUGGUAGGGUAACGGCCUACCAAGUCAAUGAUCUUUAGGGGGCCUGAGAGGGUGAUCCCCCACACUGGUACUGAGACACGGACCAGACUCCUACGGGAGGCAGCAGUGAGGAAUAUUGGACAAUGGGUGAGAGCCUGAUCCAGCCAUCCCGCGUGAAGGACGACGGCCCUAUGGGUUGUAAACUUCUUUUGUAUAGGGAUAAACCUACUCUCGUGAGAGUAGCUGAAGGUACUAUACGAAUAAGCACCGGCUAACUCCGUGCCAGCAGCCGCGGUAAUACGGAGGGUGCAAGCGUUAUCCGGAUUUAUUGGGUUUAAAGGGUCCGUAGGCGGAUCUGUAAGUCAGUGGUGAAAUCUCAUAGCUUAACUAUGAAACUGCCAUUGAUACUGCAGGUCUUGAGUAAAGUAGAAGUGGCUGGAAUAAGUAGUGUAGCGGUGAAAUGCAUAGAUAUUACUUAGAACACCAAUUGCGAAGGCAGGUCACUAUGUUUUAACUGACGCUGAUGGACGAAAGCGUGGGGAGCGAACAGGAUUAGAUACCCUGGUAGUCCACGCCGUAAACGAUGCUAACUCGUUUUUGGGUCUUCGGAUUCAGAGACUAAGCGAAAGUGAUAAGUUAGCCACCUGGGGAGUACGUUCGCAAGAAUGAAACUCAAAGGAAUUGACGGGGGCCCGCACAAGCGGUGGAUUAUGUGGUUUAAUUCGAUGAUACGCGAGGAACCUUACCAAGGCUUAAAUGGGAAUUGACAGGUUUAGAAAUAGACUUUUCUUCGGACAAUUUUCAAGGUGCUGCAUGGUUGUCGUCAGCUCGUGCCGUGAGGUGUUAGGUUAAGUCCUGCAACGAGCGCAACCCCUGUCACUAGUUGCCAUCAUUCAGUUGGGGACUCUAGUGAGACUGCCUACGCAAGUAGAGAGGAAGGUGGGGAUGACGUCAAAUCAUCACGGCCCUUACGCCUUGGGCCACACACGUAAUACAAUGGCCAGUACAGAGGGCAGCUACCAGGCGACUGGAUGCGAAUCUCGAAAGCUGGUCUCAGUUCGGAUUGGAGUCUGCAACUCGACUCUAUGAAGCUGGAAUCGCUAGUAAUCGCAUAUCAGCCAUGAUGCGGUGAAUACGUUCCCGGGCCUUGUACACACCGCCCGUCAAGCCAUGGAAGUUUGGGGUACCGAAGUCGGGACCGAACAG
rnacentral:rRNA from 1 species